rnacentral:rRNA from 1 species
GGGUGACCUGCCCUGAAGUGGGGGAUAACUACCCGAAAGGGUAGCUAAUACCGCAUGUGAUCUGCCAUUCGGUUGGCAGAUUAAAGGCCUGUAUAGGUCGCUUCAGGAGGGGCCCGCGGCCGAUCAGGUAGUUGGUAGGGUAACGGCCUACCAAGCCGAUGACCGGUAGGGGGCGUGAGAGCGCGGCCCCCCACACUGGCACUGAAACACGGGCCAGACUCCUACGGGAGGCAGCAGUGAGGAAUAUUGCGCAAUGGGCGAAAGCCUGACGCAGCAACGCCGCGUGGGCGAUGAAGGCCUUCGGGUUGUAAAGCCCUUUUCUGGGGGACGAGGAAGGACGGUACCCCAGGAAUAAGUCUCGGCUAACUACGUGCCAGCAGCCGCGGUAAAACGUAGGAGGCGAGCGUUAUUCGGAUUUACUGGGCGUAAAGCGCGUGCAGGCGGCUCUGUAAGUCAGGCGUGAAAUCUCCCGGCUUAACCGGGAGGCUGCGUCUGAUACUGCAGGGCUAGAGGUCGGGAGAGGGAAGUGGAAUUCCCGGUGUAGCGGUGGAAUGCGUAGAUAUCGGGAGGAACACCAGUGGCGAAGGCGGCUUCCUGGCCCGCACCUGACGCUCAGACGCGAAAGCGUGGGGAGCGAACGGGAUUAGAUACCCCGGUAGUCCACGCCGUAAACGAUGGAUACUAGGUGUCGGGUGGUGUUGACCCCAUCGGCGCCGUAGCUAACGCGUUAAGUAUCCCGCCUGGGGACUACGGCCGCAAGGCUAAAACUCAA